CUUACCAUGCAGUCUAGGGGGCCCGCAAGGGUCACCGGCGAACGGGUGCGUAACACGUGAGCGACCUACCCUGGAAUGGGGGAUAGCCGGCCCAACGGCCGGGUAAUACCGCAUACGCUCUUCGAGCUUCAUGGCUUGGAGAGGAAACCUUUUGGGUUCCUGGAGGGGCUCGCGGCCUAUCAGCUAGUUGGUGAGGUAAUGGCUCACCAAGGCUAUGACGGGUAGCUGGUCUGAGAGGAUGGCCAGCCACAUUGGGACUGAGAAACGGCCCAGACUCCUACGGGAGGCAGCAGUGGGGAAUAUUGCGCAAUGGUCGAAAGACUGACGCAGCGACGCCGCGUGGAGGAUGAAGCCCCUCGGGGUGUAAACUCCUGUUGCUCGGGACGAACCUCUCCUUUCGAGGAGACUGACGGUACCGAGUGAGGAAGCACCGGCUAACUCUGUGCCAGCAGCCGCGGUAAUACAGGGGGUGCGAGCGUUGUCCGGAAUCACUGGGCGUAAAGGGCGCGUAGGCGGCUUGGUAAGCGUGCGGUGAAAGCUCAGGGCUCAACCCUGAGUCUGCCGUGCGAACUGCCAGGCUAGAGCACGGUAGAGGCACAUGGAAUUCCGGGUGUAGCGGUGGAAUGCGUAGAGAUCCGGAAGAACACCGGUGGCGAAGGCGGUGUGCUGGGCCGUAGCUGACGCUGAGGCGCGACAGCGUGGGGAGCAAACAGGAUUAGAUACCCUGGUAGUCCACGCCGUAAACGAUGGGCACUAGGCCCUUGGGGGAGCGACCCCCUGAGGACCGGCGCAAACGCAUUAAGUGCCCCGCCUGGGGAGUACGGCCGCAAGGCUGAAACUCAAAGGAAUUGACUGGGGCCCGCACAGGCGGUGGAGCAUGUGGUUC
rnacentral:rRNA from 1 species